AUGUGUGCUGGGAAUGCUAACCACUCAUUCCAAGAUAGCCUUGAAUGGAUCUUCUCUUUAGGAUUCAAAAUCCAGCACAGCACCAGAGGGAUGACUCAUGCACUUCUUCCCUCCAAACAUGUUUACUUCAGAGUGUGCAGGACAUCCAUAUAUAACCUCACACAGAUGGCCUGUCUCUUCUCAUCUCUAAGUGGUGAUAAAACAACAAAGUCCCAGGUAAUUACACUAACUGGAGUCACUCUCUCCUGAAUUAUUACCCUGUUCCUGUGAUCCUCGUGCUUUCCUUGUCCCUGUCCAAGGCACAGUGUGCUCCUAACCCCAUUCCCUCUACUAACAAGCAGUGGGUGAGGCUCUGAUAUUUGUUCAUUCAUUUUUCCCACAAAUAUUUACUAAAAGCAAGGCACUAUUUAAAGCACUUGAGUGAAUAUAUUCAUAUUCUCUCUCUCCUCCCCCUUCCCUUCCUUCCUCUCUUUUCCUUCCUCUCUUUCAGGUUACAUAAUUACUUUACAUGGAAAUUUUAAUAUUUUGUGUUUUUAACUGGGUGAAAUGUGUCUAAUUUCAAAGUAGCCCAAUCACAAUUUCAUGCAGCACUAAAAAGUGCUUUAGCUUAUAGAUGAUUUCCAUAAAAUGUAAUUUAGCAAAGAGAAAUAAGGGCAGAUCUGCAAAUACAUUAAAUGAUGCUAUGGACAAGAAGUUCUGUUCUUUCUAUUAGUACUACCACUAUUUUGCACAUUUUGCAAAACUAUUUCAGAAACUUGUACAAGGAAAAUCUAUCUCUGCUACAUUUAAUAAGUCUGGACAUUUUACAAUCUCCUAUUUUAGUUUAAGAUAAAUACAAUUUAAUUAUUCAUUUUAUUUACCCCGAUCAAAUUAGAACAGUAGUUUAUGCUUUAAUAUAGUUCCUCUGACCCAAAACAGAGCAAAAAUGUAUAAAAAUAACAAAAGGGAGGCUGGCAUUGUGGCAUAGCAGGUAAAGCUGCCACCUGCAUUCCCAGCAUACUGUAUGGAUGCUGGUUUGUAUCCUGGCUGUUCCACUUCUGAUCUUUCUCUCUAUUAACAGACUAGGGAAACCAGUGAAAGAUGGCCAAGUGUUUGGGCUCUUGCCACCCACAUGGGAGACCCAGAAAUUACUGGCUCCUGGCUUCAGCCUGGCUCCAUUCUGGCCAUUGCAGUCCCUUGGGGAGUGAACCAGCAGGUGGAAGGUACCUCUGUCUCUCCCUCUUCCUGUUACUCUGACUUUCAAGUAAAUAAAUAAACCUUUAAAAAAUACA
rnacentral:lncRNA from 1 species